UGGAAGUAGCCAUAUCAACUCGAAGAGGCUAAUUAAUUAAUUAAUUAAUCUUAAUUAUUUAGCCUCUUAGAGUU